CUCAGGAUGAACGCUGGCGGCGUGCCUAAUACAUGCAAGUCGAACGAAUCUCUUUUAGAGAUGAGUGGCGAACGGGUGAGUAAUACAUAGGUAACCUGCCCCUGUGCGGGGGAUAACAGGAGGAAACUCCUGCUAAUACCGCAUAGCCAUGAGCACCGCAUGGAGCUCAUGCCAAAUAUCCUUUAUGGGAUAGCGCAGGGAUGGACCUAUGGCGCAUUAGCUGGUUGGCGGGGCAACGGCCCACCAAGGCAACGAUGCGUAGCCGGCCUGAGAGGGCGGACGGCCACAUUGGGACUGAGACACGGCCCAGACUCCUACGGGAGGCAGCAGUAGGGAAUUUUCGGCAAUGGGGGAAACCCUGACCGAGCAACGCCGCGUGAGCGAAGAAGGCCUUCGGGUCGUAAAGCUCUGUUGUAAAGGAAGAACGGCGCAUACAGGAAAUGGUAUGCGAGUGACGGUACUUUACCAGAAAGCCACGGCUAACUACGUGCCAGCAGCCGCGGUAAUACGUAGGUGGCGAGCGUUAUCCGGAAUCAUUGGGCGUAAAGAGGGAGCAGGCGGCCGCAAGGGUCUGUGGUGAAAGACCGAAGCUAAACUUCGGUAAGCCAUGGAAACCGGGCGGCUAGAGUGCGGAAGAGGAUCGUGGAAUUCCAUGUGUAGCGGUGAAAUGCGUAGAUAUAUGGAGGAACACCAGUGGCGAAGGCGACGGUCUGGGCCGCAACUGACGCUCAUUCCCGAAAGCGUGGGGAGCAAAUAGGAUUAGAUACCCUAGUAGUCCACGCCGUAAACGAUGGUCACUAAGUGUCGGGGGUCAAACCCCGGUGCUGCAGUCAACGCAAUAAGUGACCCGCCUGAGUAGUACGUUCGCAAGAAUGAAACUCAAAGGAAUUGACGGAAGGGCGA
rnacentral:rRNA from 1 species